AUGUCCAGUCCUCCAUGUCUGUGCCAAUCUUGUCACAUCUCUGAAGCUAAGCAGGGCUGGGCCUGGUUAAUACUUGGAUGAGAGACCUCUGGGAAUAUCAGCACUGGCUCUU
rnacentral:rRNA from 1 species